UACAGAGGGUGCGAGCGUUAAUCGGAACUACUGGGCGUAAAGCGUGCGUAGACGGUUUCGUAAGUCGGGUGUGAAAUCCCCGGGCUCAACCUGGGAAUUGCAUUCGAAACUGCGAGGCUAGGGUACGGAAGAGGGAAGCGGAAUUUCUGGUGUAGCGGUGAAAUGCGUAGAUAUCAGAAGGAACAUCAGUGGCGAAGGCGGCUUCCUGGUCCAGUACCGACGUUCAGGCACGAAAGCGUGGGGAGCAAACAGG
rnacentral:rRNA from 1 species